CAGUCGCCGCGGGAAUACGGAGGGCGCGAGCGUUACCCGGAUUUACUGGGCGUAAAGGGCGUGUAGGCGGCCUGGGGCGUCCCAUGUGAAAGGCCACGGCUCAACCGUGGAGGAGCGUGGGAUACGCUCAGGCUAGAGGGUGGGAGAGGGUGGUGGAAUUCCCGGAGUAGCGGUGAAAUGCGCAGAUACCGGGAGGAACGCCGAUGGCGAAGGCAGCCACCUGGUCCACUUCUGACGCUGAGGCGCGAAAGCGUGGGGAGCAAACCGGAUUAGAGACCCGUGUAGUCCCUGUCUCUUAUAC
rnacentral:rRNA from 1 species